rnacentral:rRNA from 1 species
AAUGAACGCUGGCGGCAUGCCUUACACAUGCAAGUCGAACGGCAGCAUGACCUAGCUUGCUAGGUUGAUGGCGAGUGGCGAACGGGUGAGUAAUGCAUCGGAACGUGCCUUUUAGUGGGGGAUAACGUAGCGAAAGUUACGCUAAUACCGCAUAUUCUCUGAGGAGGGAAGCAGGGGACCUUCGGGCCUUGCGCUAGAAGAGCGGCCGAUGUCGGAUUAGCUAGUUGGUGAGGUAAAGGCUCACCAAGGCAACGAUCCGUAGCGGGUCUGAGAGGAUGAUCCGCCACACUGGGACUGAGACACGGCCCAGACUCCUACGGGAGGCAGCAGUGGGGAAUUUUGGACAAUGGGCGCAAGCCUGAUCCAGCCAUGCCGCGUGAGUGAAGAAGGCCUUCGGGUUGUAAAGCUCUUUCGGCUGGGAAGAAAUCGCACCCUCUAAUACAGGGUGUGGAUGACGGUACCAGCAUAAGAAGCACCGGCUAACUACAUG